AAUUCAGAUUUUGGCUAGACAACAAGCCCAAAGAGAGGAAGAGCUAGCACAGUCACAGCGCCAUAUUUUAGCUCUUCAAGAAGAAAUUGAGGAGCUUGAACGUGAGAAUCGUCUCCACAGCCAACAGGAGGCAAUGUUAAAGGAUGAGCUUCACAAUAUGGAAAGAUCAAAGAAAAGGGAAGGUGUUCAUAUGACAUAUUU